GUGAGGAAUUUUCCGCAAUGGGCGAAAGCCUGACGGAGCAAUGCCGCGUGAAGGAUGAAGGCCUAUGGGUUGUAAACUUCUUUUCUCAGAAAAGAAUUAUGACGGUAUCUGAGGAAUAAGCAUCGGCUAACUCUGUGCCAGCAGCCGCGGUAAGACAGAGGAUGCAAGCGUUAUCCGGAAUGAUUGGGCGUAAAGCGUCUGUAGGUUGUUUAAAAAGUAUUCUGUCAAAGAUUAGGGCUUAACCCUAGAUAGGCAGAAUAAACUUUUAAGCUAGAGUUUGGUAGAGGCAGAGGGAAUUCCCGGUGGGGCGGUGAAAUGCGUAGAUAUCGGAAGGAACAACAAAGGCGAAGGCACUCUGCUGGGCCAAUACUAACACUGAGAGACGAAAGCGAGGGGAGCAAAUGGGAUUAGAAACCCCGGUAGUCC
rnacentral:rRNA from 1 species